UACAGAGGGUGCAAGCGUUGCUCGGAAUCAUUGGGCGUAAAGCGCACGUAGGUGGCCUGUUAAGUCGGGUGUGAAAUCCCUGGGCUCAACCCAGGAAGUGCACUCGAAACUGGCAGGCUUGAGUACUGAAGAGGGUCGCGGAAUUCCCGGUGUAGAGGUGAAAUUCGUAGAUAUCGGGAGGAACACCAGUGGCGAAGGCGGCGACCUGGGCAGAUACUGACACUGAGGUGCGAAAGCGUGGGGAGCAAACAGGG
rnacentral:rRNA from 1 species